rnacentral:rRNA from 1 species
ACGGCCGUACCAUGCUGAAUAUACCGGUUCUCGUUAGAUCACCGAAGUCAAGCAUCAUUGGGCGCGGUCAGUACUUGGGUGGGUGACCAUCUGGGAACACUGCGUGCCGUU